GAUGAACGCUGGCGGCGUGCCUAAUACAUGCAAGUCGAGCGAACAGAUGAGGAGCUUGCUCCUCUGACGUUAGCGGCGGACGGGUGAGUAACACGUGGAUAACCUACCUAUAAGACUGGGAUAAAUUCGGGAAACCGGAGCUAAUACCGGAUAAUAUAUUGAACCGCAUGGUUCAAUAGUGAAAGACGGUUUUGCUGUCACUUAUAGAUGGAUCCGCGCCGCAUUAGCUAGUUGGUAAGGUAACGGCUUACCAAGGCAACGAUGCGUAGCCGACCUGAGAGGGUGAUCCGCCACACUGGAACUGAGACACGGUCCAGACUCCUACGGGAGGCAGCAGUAGGGACUCUUCCGCAAUGGGCGAAAGCCUGACGGAGCAACGCCGCGUGAGUGAUGAAGGUCUUCGGAUCGUAAAACUCUGUUAUUAGGGAAGAACAAAUGUGUAAGUAACUAUGCACGUCUUGACGGUACCUAAUCAGAAAGCCACGGCUAACUACGUG
rnacentral:rRNA from 1 species